UAAUUGCACAAUCAGAGUUUAAAACUUCUUCUGAUUAAAUUGUGCAAAGCCUCUAAACUAAUUGUCUGAAAAUGUCUUCUGGGUUGAGCAUUUUCUUAGAUAAAAUUUGGAUGUGACAAUCAAAGGCUUGGUUUUUCUACUGGUGUGCAAUAUUUUGGGGAGGUAGCUUGGCCUGGGUGAAUUGGUGGCUUUGGGAAAUAGAACAGUAAUAUUAUUGCUUUGCUUAAGUAUCUAUAUUUUAGAAGCAUUUUUCCAUUAGAAAUUUAAUUUGUAUACAUGAAGUGUUUGGAAAGAUUAGACAGGAGGGAAGAAGGAUCUGUUUUGAGUUUAAAUACUUUUUUUGCCUGUUUUUUGCUAAUGUAGGCCUGAAAAUAGAUUUGAUAAUAAUAAUACCUUAUGUUUUUGAGGUAAGUUGCUUCUUUUUCUCUGCUCUCAAGGUAGACUUCGCAUCAAUGCAUUUUGGGGACACAUCAGCCUUCUCCAUCUACCUUGUCCUUGUGUCAAUAUUGAGCGUUAGCUGUACUUUCUUGGCUGCCACAGUUCAGGAUCAGUUUGAGAGCCAUCAGCAAAUGCCCAGUGCUCAAGUUCACCAAGUGACACAUACUGUUUGACACAGACAGUGUCUUGGGCAGAAUUCUCAUUUUUAUGCCUGUAAAACAACAAAAAGCCCAAACAAACUAACAACAAAAAAAAACCAAACAAGAACAAAAGCAUGAAAUGAAUAGCAAUGUCCCAUCUGUUUGCAUUGUCCACUUGGGCUGCUGCUGUCUGAGGUGUCAGGAUGGAGAAUAACAUAAAACAAACCACCACUAAAAUGAAAGAGGGUGAGAAGCACCUCAAAGGUAAGAAAAACUGUGCCAUGUAACAGAAGAUUCUGUGCAGCCUGAGAGUGCUCAUUCCCCGUUGCAGCAGGUUCAGGCUUAGGUGUGUAGUUAGAGCUUUUACAUGACUAUUGUUUCUAGGAGCAGAUCUUAUACCUACAGUUCGGUCAGCAUUGACACAUUGACAUGUCAAAACAGAAGAGAGUUUUUAUACAUAUAUAUAUAUAUAUAUACACACACACAUAUAUAUAUAUAUACACAUUUUUUUUUUUUUUUUUUUUUUUGGUGCGUUACCUGGCCCUAAUUUUCUAACCCUGCCCCCAGUGUAAUGAAUCCAGAUUCAGUUCUCUCUGGCUUGUUUGACUAUUAAUUUUGUCAGUGCUGUGCCUUCCCCUGUACUAGCCUACAUUUGCACAAGGGUUCUUACAAGACCGUAAAUGUAGUUAUCCCAUGUUAUUUUGUAAGAAGACUAACAAGCUUCCUUGAGCUCAACUAUGUGCUGUUCUGGUCGGAGUAAAAAGAAACACCUUGGAGGGCAGGAUGCCUUCAAAUUGGUGCAGCAGUUGCAGUAGAAAGAGCAGAUGGGAGAACAGAGGCACUGAGCUGCCUUCCCUUUCCUUGGGGAUGACAGGAGAGGGGCAUAUGAGAUAAUAGGUAUGAGAGAUCUCAUUUCACCCCUUCACAGAGAAGGGUCUCUAUGAAAAAAUGCUGGCUCGCUCUUGCGGUGAAGCUCUCCAUUGCUACUGCAACAACUGUAAUCUCCUCAGUGAGUUUCCAAAUAUGAAUUACCUGUCUGUUGUGUGGUUAUAUUUAUUUAUUUAUUUACUUUUUCUGAAGGUGCAAAUAUAAAUGUCUUUUAAUGUGUUUCUAAGGUUCAAAAGGAAAGACUUCUGCACUGAUUUAAUUACCUGAAACCUUCUUACUCUGAUAUACAUUUUUGUGGAGCAACUAGCUGUCAUUUAGCUUGAUUUAGGCACUUUACUCAUAUCAAUUAACUGGAUAAUGAGCCACAGGCAAGAGUUAAGUAUCUCACAACUAUUUAUCCCCAUUUUAUCAUUCACUCCAAGAGAAAACAGAAUUUCCCCAAAUGUUCUGAAAAUACGUCUAUUUUAAUAGACUGAAAUUGUCACAACUUUUUUUUGUCCUCACUGUUCUAUAUUAUCAUCAAAUCAGUUUUUACAUUGUUCUUAACUUCUCAUUUGAACUGUGUAAGGAUAUUAUUAUGUCUUGAAAUCAUGAGGCCAUUCAUGUUACCUGAAUAUUUGCACCUAUCACUUAAAUUGUGUAGCUUGCAUCAGUAGUUCUGUGCAUGUUUGUUUGGUAGAUAAUAGAUGAGAGAAGUCAAAUGAAUGAUAUUCUGUGAUUUUUUUUUUUAUUUUUUUUUUUUUUUUGUGGCUUUGUAAACCAUUUGUAACAUGGCCCAAAAUAUUUUGAGAUAAAGGGUGAUACACCAACUAAUGGGAACAUUAAGCAAUAUGUGUUCCUAAACCAGACUUUAUUCACCACUGAAAAAUAAAUGCAAAGAAAAUACUUUGCAAAGGUAUUAAACAUUUAACAGUCUUAAAAAAUUAUUUUAAAUAACUGAGUGGCUCAUUCCCCUAACCAAAUAUGCUUUUGGAUUACUUUCUGGGAGAUGUUGAUUUUUAUACAAUGGUAAUAGUCCUCUUCAGAUUUUCACAUGUGUUGAUAAUUACAUCAAAACACUUCUAGAAUUCACCUUAUGAAGCAUUUGAGGAACUUUUAAAAUUAAGUCUAGUACUUGUAGCUGUAUUAUCAGUUGAAUAACUACUUGAUUUGUAUCUACCUUUUGGUUUAUAUGCUCUCACCUAGGUAUGUUGGUCAGCUUAGUAAUACUAAGCCCUCCUGAUUUUGACAAGAGGACACAGCUUUCCGUGGCAGUCACUUUUCACAGUGUGGAUGGACUUUCAGGGUUCCUGGAGUGCGAGUGCCUUGUAUCUUAGAGAUAUCCCAUCUGUGAGUAGAUGAUGUGAUUAAUUUCAAGGAGCCUGGAAUGUCACAAUUGCUGUGCAGAAGUGCUGGAUCUGAGACUUUUCUGUCCACAUGAACAGACCCAAAUUUUAGUCUGGGUUCAAAUAUAUGCCUAGAGUAAUUAAUCACAUGUAUAUAAAGAUUUUUUUUUUCCUUUCAGAUUUAUAUUACUGUUACUUGUUUCAAAGUAUGUAAGUCUUAUAUGUUCUUAUCAGAAAAAGUAUAGCAAUAAGAAAUUUUACAUUAGUCCUAAGCUAGACCUUGAAAAUUACGCAUGAGGGUUUUAAAGUUUUAAUAUGUGUUUCUGAACAAUCAGUAUUUUCUCUUUUGAGGGGAUUAAUGAAACUCUUUAAAGCUGCAUUUUGUGAUGGCCUGCAGCAUAUUACUGAGGGCUCAUUAUCUUGUCAAAGCUCCUAAAAUACGGGCUCUGCAGGAGUGAUGUUGUUACUCAGUGAGUUGAUAUGGAGUUAGUCCAUUUGCAUGGUGCUAGGAGGAAAAAUGCUACAGUAGAUAGAGAUGGAGAUGAAAAUGCAGGACCCUGUGAGACUUUACCCACUGUACUGAUUCUAAAUUUGUUUUGGACAAAUUAGAUUUGUUGCUCUUCAGUUUUCCUUCCGAAAACUCUCUUGUGGCUUUAUUGUCAGCUGAAGUGUUUACUGACUGAGAAGCGCUUGCAUUUUACUGAUGGAUAUGGUGAUCCUGGUAAACACUUUGGGGCCUUUGUGAUGCAAUAUGCUGUGUAAGUGUUUGUGUCAUUUUAUGAUUGAGAGGGCAGAAGCUCAUUUAAAUAAAAAGUAGAAUAAAAAGCCCAGAAUUCCAGCACCCACCAGUAUCAUUAAAGCUAAUACAGUGAUAAAAGUUAAACAAUAUAAAGAUGUCUUAAAAUAGAAAAGUAACACAGUAUCCAAUGCUACUAUUGGGGGGAAAGUGCCAAUGUUCUCAUUAUUUUUAAUGACUUCCAAACCUGGGCCCUUAGUGACCAGUGAGAUAUGCAAUUUCAGAUGGGAAACAUAGUUUCUUCAGUGCUAGCAGGUACUGAAUGUCCUCAGUUGUUAGGGGCCAUUGUCGUGCUCAGGAUGCUCUGAAAGGCAGCAGACAAAUCAUAAGUUGGAUGCUAUGAUGGACAGUUCCUUAGGAAGGGAAGAGAGAAAAAGUAAGUAUUUGCUAGGGUGUUUAAUAAAAUAGAACAAUCUGGAUGAUAAAAAUUGGUGAUGACACAGCUCCUGAACAAACAUCUAUCACUGCAGAAUGAUAGGUGCUAGAGAAUAUUUCUGCAGAUCUUCAGAUUCUAUCCCAAUAUUAAAGAAAGGGCAAAAAGCCAACUUCAGUAAUUGUUUCUGUUUAUUAAAAGAAGAUAAGCAUGUUAUGAAGAUCUGGAAGUUGAUGAUGAAGUGACAUGUGUGAGAGGUGUUUAUGUUGGAAGCAGGUUGCCUGUGGUUCACAUGUGCCCAUCGUUCCCUUCCGGCACUGCCAAAGCUGCUGGGGAGCAGUGUCCCUCACAAAACCCACCAGCACUCAGCUUCUCUGCUGGUGGGAAGGCAGCACUUGGAUGUUCCCUCCUGUGUAGGCAGGAGUUUGCAGAAGCAGCUUGUCCAAGGGGUCUUGGGGCAGGAUCCUAAGUUGAACUCCCCCUCAGCUGCCUGCGGGGCUGCUCAGCCGUCUGGGAAUUAAGCAAGACAUGCUAGUCAGGAGUAUUGAACAGUAAAUCAGGGGGAUAGCUGGUACCGGAAGUGUUUUAAUGGUGGAAAAAAGAGUUUCUGCAGGAUCCAGGCUCCUGAUUUUUGCUCUUUCUAGCACACAUUUUUCUCUAUUUUGAACAGGAGGCUGGGCAGCCCUACCUGGCAGCUAGCCUGGGGAGAGGGCACCCCUUACCAUCCCUUCUGCCUGGGCAUGUCUGCAUAAAAACGGUUCCUAUUGUGCCCAACAUACUAAAAAUAAAAGUAUUUUUAGCUUUUUAAAGUUGCUGAUCAGAACUCCAGGCAAUGAAAAAUAUUGCUUGUGGUGAUGCAGGAAAAUUGUGUAGUGCUGCUCAUGUGAUGAUGAAAUGUCUGCUUUGGAAGCUAAAAUUACUGGAAAGAUGACCCAGUAAUAGCAGACAAACCCACAAAUCUAGCAGAUUUAAAGCAAAUACAAAGCAAUAUAUUUUUAUGUUGUUUGUUUUAAUGCAAUAGAUUAAAUGGUGGAGCUUGCUACAUGUGAUACUUGGGAUUCUAAAAAGAUAAACAGAUUGCAAAGAUAUUACAUAAAUUCAUGGAAGAUUGGUUGACUGAUGGCUAUUAAAAAUGACAGCUGACAUGCAGUUCUCACCUCAGGAAACCCAUAAAUCACUAGUUGUUCAAAUUUGGAAGAAUAAACCAGAGGAAGGCUCAUGGUCCCUGCUUCUCUGUUGUUUCCUGUACCUCCGUGAGUGACCACCACAGAGGCACUGCUCAGUGCUGGCCUUGCCCUGGAGCUGGCAUUGUGUGUCUGCUCCUGUGUCCAAAGGCAGAUAUUUGCAGAGUAAAUGUGGAGGUGAGAAGUUAUCUUCUCAUUUAUAUUUCAGCUGGGAGCCUUACAGUCAUUGUUAAUGUCAAUCCAAGCCAGGCAUGGCAUGGUCCUGCUUGUUCUCAGGCACACCGGCUGUGGUUCCCUCCACGCAGGGUAAAUAAUGUUGUUCUGCAGUCUUCAAAGUAGCCUCUGCAGAUGAGACACCUGCACAGAGUUACAUCUAGUGGAAAUCUAGGUGAGCACUCUACUGGAUAAAUUUUCGCUAUCCUCAGGGUAUAAGUUGCUUUAGACACAUAGUAAUAUCCUUAAUUAAAACACUCCCUUGAAGUAAAUAAUUAAAUGAGGGUUACAAUUAUGAGCCACAAAGUGACACAGGUGACAGGCUUACUUUAAGUAGGACAAUUAAACUGUAAAUUAAAAUUAAACUUCUCCAUGAAAUUAUAAUACUAUGUAAGGUAAUUACUUAAGAGUAAUAGGUGAGGUCUGUAUAUUACAUCAACAAAUCCUUUCAGAGAUCAUUAGAAAAAAGAUUUUCUACCCUGUUGUUUUCCAUCUGUGUGGUGUGUGUUUAUUUUUUUCAAUAUAUGUAUAUUUCCUAAUCCAAAUAGGAACAAAAGCCUAAACUACAUUUCCAGUUUUCUUCACCAAAAUGGGUAUUUAAUUGAAGAAGUUUAGUUUAAGUAACAUUUUCCUUUAGCAAACUUUUUUUUUUUUUUUAAAUUAGUGUAGCAGAGGUAUUGAACCUUGUGGGAGUGUUUGGUGCUGGACUGAUGCUGAUGUGUCUGAGCAGGGUUUGGCUGUGGACCUGAUCACUGCUAGAAAGUGCAAGUGCCAUUUUCACAGCGUCUUGCUGUGUGAACAAUAACGAGUUUUUGUUAUUGGCACCUUUGUGCAUGCUCUAAGAUUAUUUAGUACUAAUAACAUUAUUUAAUGUAUUCUACAUUUGAGCUUUUAAAAUUAUUCUCGUGAGAAUAAUAAUAAUACCUUAGUUUUAUUCUGUUUUAAAAGAAUAAAUUUGUCCUCCAUGCAAAAAGUGACCCUAGGCAGUACCUAAAUCAAGGAGUUAUGAACUAUGCAAAGUGUUUUCUAAGUGGCGCAAACAUGUUGUUUUUCCCCCUGUAUGUUUUUUAUUUAUUUAUUUAAGAGGAUGAAUAUUGUAGAAAAUACAAGCGGUAAACAAAAAUUCUGGGGAAAAAAAAGGCAUUCUAGUCCAAAUUCAAAAGACCUUUUCUGAAACAAAUGUGCUGAUUUUAUAGGAAAAGGUUUAUUUUCUGAAAAAACUGUGUUUGAAAAACACUGUAAAUUAGUGCUUCACUUGAAAUUAGAAAAAUAGGAUUGUUGUAUCCAAACAGUUAAUAGAACAAAGUAUAACUUAGUUUUGGAUUAAGUGGAUUUUAUAAAUCAGAUUUCAGGUGGUCUGUAGUCAGACUUAGGCAUUUUGAGCACCUCUGAUGUUGACUUCAGGGCCUCUUUGAGAGUUACAGAAGUUUUUCACUUUGCCCAAGGGAGUAAGGCAGCAGGUGUUAUGGGGUGCACUUCGGGCUACUCUUGUCUGUUAAUGACAAGAUUUAGCAAAUCCUGACUUGGAUUAAUAGUCAUUCCUUAUGUAAGUAGUCUGAAUUGCUUCAAGUUCCUCUUGUGAGUAAGAGUGAGAUGCACUCAGGUGAUGUGAAACCUCACUGUUCUGGUCAUGGUCAAGGGUGGCCGGGCUGGACAGAGCCUUCUUGGGAAGGAAAUGCUGCUGCGGCUUGCUGGUAUCUCAGCAGCUUUGCUGAUGUUGUUUAUCACAAAUUUAGAGUUGCUUACGUAACUUUGAAUGAUAUGCUAUGCUUGCAAGGUAUGUUGGUGGGGUAUUUUUAAUUUUUAUUUUUUUUUUAAUUUCAAGUUUUACUAAGGUAAAUAAUCAGAAAUUCUGAAAUGAUUAAAAAAAUAACUCUGAUUGUAGUACUUUUAAAUCCUUUGAUAACUGGACAAUUUGAGUCACUCUAGCCUGCUAAAUCAGAGCAUCAAAUGUUUUUCAUAUUUUACUAGGUCCUUUUAUGUUGCAAUUUUAAUCUCCUUGCAAUUUUAAAAUAUAUCUUCUAACGAUAUAUUUUACCCAAUUUAUUAAGAAAGUAAAAUAACCCCUUAUUCUGACAACUUUAUUACUCUCAAUUCAGAGGAAAAGGACCAGAUUUUUUUUUUUUUUUUUCAUCUUUGAAUGUAUGUUCUUAAAGCCUGGAACAAUUUAAAUUGCUUUUUAGGUACUGUACUCAGUUUAGUAAAAUAUUUAGUGCUAUUACGAUAGAGUAAACCAUUAGACUGCAAUUACACUAACACAGCACAGAGACUAAUAGUUCUGUUGGAACACAACAGUGAUGCAUGAUUGCCCCAUUAGGAUCGGAAGUCUUGAAGCACUGAGGUUAUUAAAAAAAAUUAAUCACUGUUACAGUCUUGAUUUUGUUAGAUUGUAAUAAAAAUGUCUUAUUUAUGGAUAUAACUACUACUGUGUCAACCUCUUAAGGGCAUAUUAAAAAAAAAUCUCCUAGUAAGGAUUCUUUGGAUCAUGAUUAUAAAGUCUUUUGCCUUGCUGCAGUUGGAAAUCCAGAACUGCAUCUUUACUUUCCUGAAAGACUUACUCAGGCAGGUUGUACUGAGGCAUGCCUUCAGGACUUAGGUGGGACUGUUUCCUGGUAUUUGUGAGAGCAGAGUUUUAAAGGUUACAAAAAUUUCAAGUCACAUUGCUGUCUAAAUUUUUUUUUUUAAAUACCCAAAUGUACAGCAAACGUAUUCACACAAUUUUGAAGACGGGUAUAGAUGGAAGGUAGGAGGAAAUAUUUUCUCUUUUGCUGUCUUAUCUAGUUUCUAAAAUGCUUAAUAAGACAGUUCAUAUGCAUGGUUGUGUUUCACAGCAACAGGGGAAUAAGAAGCAUUUUGAAAAUAAAAAGGAGACACAAAAAUUUUUAAAAAUGGGAUCCAGCACUUAGGAGCUGCAUUAACACUAGUAAUAGAAUCUAACUACUAAAUAAGAAAAGUGGUGGUAUCAAAGGAACCUACUUCAAAAAGCUGGAACAACUUCAGACCCAUCCUCCACAAAUCGUAUUUAAAGAAUCCCAGUCAUAGUACAUCAUUUGGGAUGCUUUCUGACAAGAUUUACCUACCCUUGUGCAGAUAAUCUGAAAGAACUGCUAUAUGAAAUGUAACUAAAAAAGUGCUGUAUAAAAUACUUCUGAAUAUUAGCAAGUGAAUGUAAAAGAGUCUGGUCCAGCCUUUCAGGGCAAAUCUGGUUCCUUCCAUGUACUAUAUAGAAGCACUGAUAACAGCUUUAUUUAAGUGAAGCUUGAGUAAAUCUGUGCUUUGGCAAGCAGCUGUAUGUACUGUGGCUUUGGCUGGACCCUCUGGCUGUUGUCCACACUGGCUGCUGCUGGGUUUUGAAGCUAUUAACUGACAUGUUUUGCUCUUUAAAACUAACUCUGCCUUUGAACACUGUAACUUUCUGAAGCCUGAUCUUUUGUGGCAUUCUUGCAGGGUUUUUUUGCCUGUUUUUCUAGAGACACGAGGUGGAUAUGGCCAUGCUGGUGUCUCCAGGGCACUUGUUAACUGCCAAAUGCGUUACUGCGGCUCAGCCACAUUUGAUGAUGUGGGACAGAGCUUCAAAGACCUUAAGUUUCCCCACACGAAGCUAUAGGCAGCCUAGCUGUUCAUGAUGCUGCUGAAGAGCCACUGGCUGCCUCUUCGCUCGUCCUUGGUUGGGCUGCAGGUCGGGCUGGUGCCCCUUGCCUGCCCACCUCCUGCAGCAUCCGUGCCACGGCCCAGGAUCUCAGGCAGCAGUUAGUGCCCAUCCUGUGCAUCCUUCCCAGUGCAGCUGGGAAGAUGGCACUCACCACUCUGGGGUGUGCACUGGCCUGGCCUUAGGGCCACACAGGGUUUGGGAAUGUCUUAUUUACCUGGCGCACCUCUGCUCCUGCCUGUACGUGUGACACCUGUCCCAGGCUGGGCACCUUCCAUCUAUUUCCCGUGUCCCUGGGGUACAGCUGUGUGCUUUGCUGGUGUCUUGUACUAGCGGAGCUUAUCUUAGCCCUGUCUUUCUUGAUUCCAUUUUAAUGCAGUUAGUUAGGAUUUUUAAGUACUUUGACUUGUCUUUUCUCAAAUACCAGCUGUCAGAAGCACACAUAGGUCUCAUGAAGCAGGUGCAGUUUUUGAACUGAUUUAAAUGAAGAAGAGAGAGACAUUUGGUAAAUAUUAAUUGGCAGACAUUCUGAGUAAGGACAGCAGAAAAAGACAUGAAUUUGGGAGUGUCUCACAAAUGGGAUUUUUUUUUUUUUUAAGAAAAAGGAAAGGGGAUGCAGAUAUUGUUUGAUUCUGUUUCUGAGGAGCCCUUCAUGAGACACUGUCCCUUUGAUUCAUUAAGUGGGCAGGAGCGUUUGUUAACGAAUUGUUUGGCACCUUACAGUCAUUAUUGUUUUGCAGUGUUGUUCUCAGUUUUAUUUCCUUCUGUAUCUUCUAAUAUUCGAAAGAAGUAGUAAAAAUGUUAACACAGGAAAUAAACAUGGAGAUUUUUUUUCCUCCAAGUAACAUACAUUGCACAAUGCCUAUCUGAGAAGUAUUGAACAAGUGAAUACCGAAGUCCCAGACCAUUUAAAAUGCUGCCUUGGUUUUAUGACAACUGUAUUACUGUUUACCAGUUUGUGGACUUUACCUUACAAGAAAAGCUUGUAGAUGAAAUUUUAUGGAUGGAGGUAAAGUAAGGAAAAUGUCCCUUUAUUUUCUGAUGAUACUGAAGUCUGAAAGAAGUAUUAUUGCCUGCAUGAACAAACAAAUGUUAUUUAUACUGGCUGGUACAUUGUUACACAUUUUUCGGCGCAACUUUUGCUUGUUACUGACUGUAAUAGGAACUUUGACAUUGGAAAGAACAACUCUUUGUGUCCAGACAGCAAGAAGCAUACAGAUUGCAUCAGUCUCUCUCCCCCUUGUGACUUCUCUUCAUUUGCAGACUAAAUCCUCUGGUAUCUGUGUGCUCAGAGUUUCACAUGGAGCCCUUCAAGACAAUGUGCCUGCUUUGUGGAGUAGGAGGAACGGCACACUUUUUCCAAGUGUCCUUGAGGCAGAGAACAACAGGACAGCACAUUGUCAUGCAUCCUCCUUUGUUUAUGCAGAUGGAGUGCAAGGCUCCUCUGCCCAGACACCCACCAUAAAGAGAGCAUCUUGGGAGCUGCAGAGCUCAGAGUACAGAGCCUUUCUUGAGUGUGUAUAUUAAAUGUGCGGAGAAGAAAAAGCUACCCAGUAUACCUGAAGUCACCUAUUCUGAGCCAGUGGUAUGAAGAGAGAAGCACCGUAUCUUUCCUAGCUGCAGUAUCUUGAACUGAGGUCUUGGGAUUAACCGAAAAGCUGGAGCAACAGUUCACAUUCUUAAGAAUAAAUCACAUAUCAUCAUCUCAUCAGUUAAACUUAAAAGGACCUCUGGCAUCUGUUCACAAAAGAGAACUGUGUUUCUGGAAACAUAUGGCAUCCAACACUUGAGUCCUGCAUUGCCCGUGCAACCAUUCCCAUAGCUACAAAUGAACAGCCCGAAAUAAAUUGUCGAUAAAUGCAGUAAACAACAGGCUGCUUUCUUUCAGAACAAGUUAUAUGAAAUCAUCAUCUAUUUGGCGACCUGCAAUAGUCCUGCUUUCCAAACAGUGGAAAGUUGAACUGCAGUUUACUCUUUUCACCCACAUGGCAGAGUAAGGAGCAAGAGCUCCUUCCCUGGGUCCGGCAGCCACUCCAGGAAAGACCAGGAGUGUAGAAGUGGAUUGCUGGAUUUCAUUUAUUGUCAUGCAUUACUUUACCUUGUCUUCACUUACCCAUGUUUUUGGCACAUCAGCAAUCUGUGAUGACUUUUCCCCUCUUCUUGGAGCUGAAGGAUGCCUGGGGAAAGGGACCAUUCUCCCACCAGAUGCUGAGCGUAUUUUGUGACACCCAACACAAAUGGAGAUGGACUUGGAGUAUCUGGCAGGGGAGGAAGGACCUGGAGGCUGAAGCUGUCUCAGCAGUGCAGGAGAAUCAGGAGUGUGGCUCUGCUAAGUUGUCUUCAUUUCACAGAUUAUCAAGGCAGUAUACCAUGGAUGCUUUCCGUAUUAUAAGAAAUGUAUGUAAAGAAAGUAACCAUAUAUAAGCUUCUCAUGAAGAUCAGCUGGGACCUUGUGUUAGAAAUCUCAUUUAAAACAACUGGAAAUGACUUCACCUUGGCCUAAGUCACAGUGUAACAGCCACCUCCUCCUCCUCCAGUCCUGCUGUGAGUUAAAGUUGUUUUCUGGGCCACUACUCUUCUGUGACAAAAGGUCUUGAACCUCUUUCUCAUGCCCCUUCUUUGCUUGGCUCAGCAUGUGCAUCCCUUGCUCUUUGCAAACAGACCUGCAUGCUUGCCUUAGCACUGUUCCCUUUUCUCAGCAGCUGGAGGAACUGGUACCUGCUCAGGCAUUGAGACUCACAUGCUUUAGUUCAUAAAUACCUGUAGUAAUUUUCUGUGCUCUUGAUUGUGGGGUUAUUUUCCACCUUAUAAAAGCAAGGUUUGAUAUGUCAGAUAAAUAGGACUCAGCUACUGGUGUAUUUAUCAAGGCUAAAUCAUUUCUGCCUGUGCUUGCAGAGUGAGGGCAAAUCAGGUGGAAAAGUAGACUAGUAACAAUUCAUCCUUGUUAUGCUGUGGUAUAAAUGACUACCAGAUUUUUGAAGCAGGGGAGAAUCAGCCCACCAUGAUGAACAGCACAAACACAAUGCAUUCGGGGGAGCCUGGUUUGGGUGGUGUGCCUCCUGAAUAGCUGGGAAAGAUGAAAUGCUAAUAGACCUUGUGAUCUGCUUCAGGUCAGGUAAAGGUCAUCAGACCACCAGAAACCUUAGUGCUUUCCAUGGAAAUUUUGUGGGAUCCCAUAGGAUCCUGCAGCAGAGACAACUAGUGUGGUUUGGUUACGUGGAGAAUCUCUGGUGGGAAACAGAGAGCUGGCAGAGUGGUAGGAGAGGCACGGGGAUGGCAUGCCAGAGGGGUGGCAAGGUGCUGGGAUACCUUCCAGGGCACAGUUAUCACCCCUUGCUUCCCCUUGCUUUUUCUUUUUCAUGUUAAACACCAUGGAAGUACACCUGUGGGACAAAGCUGCUUACUUUGCUACUGGUCAUCUCCUUGAUCUUCAGUCUCCUCCUAAAAGGCUGCAUCACCCUUUCCCAGCGCUGAACACCAGAUCUGUGCCUGUUGCUGCUACUUCAGAAAAGUAGGAAAGAAUCUUCUUAUAAGAGAUUAAAACAGCUGAAAACUACGAGAUGCCAUUUCAGCCUCUCCUGGAAGCGAAGACUUGAACAGUGGAAUUUGCAGAGCUGCCACACGAGUAUUUCAUCAGUGAAAAGACACAGAGAUGACCACAGCUGAAUCAUGAGGAAAACCCAUAACCUGGCCAAGGUUGGAUGGAAACACAAGGACCCAUUUCAUAACUAACAAAGUCUAAAAAUUCAGCUCCCUGCUGAAUUUCAUGUCUGGAUGGAAAAGAAACAUCUUUAUAAAACUGGCUACACAAGAGGUUGCUGAAAUCCAGCAUUUGUUUUCAGAUAUACAUUCACACUUUUUAAAGAAAUGAUUGUGAAAAGCCUGAGAACACUUCCAACCAACGCUGAUCCAAGGUUUUAUAGAAUUGGCACAAGCUAAGAAAAUACAGGGAAAUGCAGAGGAUCCAUGAAAGAGUAUUUCUCAAACAUGUGUGCUCAACCACCCAUGAGGACAGACCUCAGCUUGAGCUCUCAAGCUGGGACUGUGCGCAGAGGUGCCCAGGAGCAGGAUAAGACUGGAUCCAGCAUGGCAUCGGUGCUUCUGUCGCUCUGUCCAAGGUGCAGCAGGAGGGAGGUGUAGCGACGAGGAGGAGAGCUGACCUCUCUUCCCAGCACCCGUCAGGACCAUGGCGGUGAGCCCCACCACCACGCACAGACAAAAGCAACUUAGUAAAAGUGUCACCACUGUGCUCUGAGGGGUAAAACGAGAGUGAGUCUACAGAAGCUGCCUUUGUUUUUUGGAAACAAAAGCCACAGUGUUAAAAGGCUCCAGGAAUUUGAGCCGUUUAGAUGAGGAAGAGUCAUCAUCAUCAUCUAUUUUUUGUGUUAAGUAUUAUGAGCAUUCAUCUGAAAAAAUGCUAAAUGAGCUAUGCCAUGCUGCUGCUGGAAAGAUUUCAUUACAUGGAAAAAGUGCCAAGUACUCAUUUACUGUACACAAAAAUGCAAAAUUUGUCAGAAGAGUGACUCUCUUCAGCAGCUCUAGUAUUUGAAAGGAACGUUAAGAUUGGUGCUGUGGUAGGGGCCAAGCAUAAAUUUGUGAACUGGUGGUGGACGGAAAGACUAUCCUGGCAAAAGGGAAGGAAAAUGGUAUGAGAAGGUAGAAGAUGACAUCUGAAUGGCAACGAAUUUGGUAGAAGUGAGAUGCUUUACAAGAAAAGUAAUGAAAUAGGAGGAGAGCAGCUCACAGUCUGCAGGCUGUCCAGGAAGCACUCUUUGGGGGAAGCAGAAAUACUGUUCAUCUGUUGAAUGUACUGCAGGUCCCUGUUCCUUCAGGGGAACAAUAGUCAUGGACAUUAUUGUGAGGAGAUGAAAACAUGGGCACGAAGUGAGUCAUUAGGCAGAUGUUGAUGUAGUUCUGAAAACAAAGUCAAUGAGCUGCAGGGUCAGGCUUCUAGGGGGAUGGCAAGAUUUUGCUGGUACACAGAUCACAGAAAGACUGAAGCGCAGAGGGAGCUGCAUCCAAAAGUCGUGUGCAUGGGUGGACCUGGUAAGACUGCUGAGCAACAUUCAGUCGUGCCUGGACUGAAUUUCCUGGCACUGUGGAAGAUGUCUGAUAUAUGGAAAGAAGGCAAUGGCUUGGGAAAGCAGACCACAAGUUGUCAUUGGUAGCAUAGCCCAAAUCACAGCCUGGUCCUGCUUUUGGUGAGCUCCUGGCAAGAACUAGUGCUGACUUGGGAGCAGGUUUAACCCAGCUCCUGGGACAGGACUCACCUGCCAAUGUAUGGAGAUAACUCAAGCCACAGCAGGAUCCUGGUGAGCAAAAGAUGCUCUGCACCUUCUGAACAGAAGGCUCUGCCAAGUAAUACUGCAGAUCCCAAUGGUAGCAUGCCUAUGGAUUUCAUAUGGAUUUCAUGCAGCUUUAACAAGCUUCUGCACAGAGAAAACAUCCUGCAUUUGGCAGGAUAAUAGCUGAAUUGCUCAAAGUCCAAUUACAAUCAAAUCUUGCUAAUUUGUACCCAGAACUGCAGAUUCAGUGAGAAUGACAAAACUUUAGCAAGUUACGGAGUAAGUGGUACACAUAUUUUAAGAAGUAUGGCUAAUGCAUUAUAGAAUUGAUUAUCGCGUUGCGAACUUUUUCACACUCUGCAAAAGGAUGAAUGCUCUUCAUUUAUUUUGACACGGUUUGUUUCUUAAACAUCUUUUGUUACAGCUGAUAAGUUUGUACUGUUUAAAAAAAAAUCAUGAAUUGUGUUAAAGGAGAUGUUGUAAUAGCCCCUUCUUAGCAAGCCUGUGCCAUUUUUUUGGGUACAGACUGGCAGGAAUGGAUAGAAGUGAACAUGCAGAACUUCAUUCUGCUCACAAAAGUUGCUGACAUAGCCAGUGCCUGGCAGGUCCUUUCUGCAAAGCAGCAGUACUAAUGCCUCCAUUUGUCUUCAGGCUGGGGAACAAUUUUUAAAACAAAGAAAUAAACAAACACAGUAGCUCUCAUUUGGCAUAAUAUAUUUAGUAAAAACAAAAAACAACAACAACAACAAAAAAGAGUUUAAAAGGAAUCUUUUCUAUCAUGAGAAGGGUAUGUGCCACGUGGAAGAAGUCCAACCAAAUGCUUGUUACUAUUCUUAAAACCUUGCUGGUGUUUAUUUACUGCUAAUGUAUUGUGUCUCAUUGAAUAAAAAAUACUGUUUGGGGGAAAACAGAUCAGAUUUGCAGGCCAGAGGUGCUGCAAAAAUGGGAGGCGAACCUCAAUACAGCAACCUUGAGGCAAGGCUGCCCUUCAUUGAAUGCCAGAUGUGCAGUGAGGGUCGAUACCAUCACCCCCGGCUCUCUGUUUCGGACAGUGAGCAAGGCAAAGGCCAAUUCAUGGUAUGAAUCUUCAUAGGGACACUUGAGCCGCCCCGGGCUGCAGACAGGCAUUUUGUUUUUUUUGCACAGUGGUUGCAGAUACCUGUAUCUGCCUCUGUACCACUUGUAAAUCUAUAAUUAAUUACCAUAGGUUAAACAGACUGAGGAAAUAACUGGAGUCUUUUUGAGGAAAUGUAAUUGUCAAUAUAGCAAGACCCCUGAAUUAUGGAUUCAGCAAUGAUUGCUAUUACAGAGAUGGUGUUAGAUGAGUAUCAUUUUGUCAAUUAACCUUUUACAAUUCAUAGUUUAUUAUAGCCUAGAACAAUCCGUUUUUAAAGACUUUUUUUUUUAAGCAUGACUCUGGCUGUGUUAAACACUUACUACCUGCUCUUUAGCCUUUGAACAUAGACUGUUAUACUUGCUUAGCAUAAUGUACAACCCUAGGUCACAAAGCUAAAGCAAACCCUUUUGAUUUAUGGAGGAUUUCAUUUUAGCUGAAUAUUUUGAAGAAUUUCCUAACUUUCUGAUGGCACGUCAAGCCAGCCGGGGAUACCAAUGUAUCUAUGUUCCUGGGUCCAAACACUUUACCCUAUUAUAAUUUAAGCUUUAAUUUUAUAACCUAUAGUGCCCUGGCUACUUAACAAAAUUAAAAAAGCAUUUAGUCAAAAUUGUGUAACAGAGAAUUCUUCUGUUACAGCAGAUAAAAUGACAAUGACAAAGUAAUUAUCAUAAAAAUUAUUCUUUUCUAAAAAUACCCCACUUCUAAAAAAAAUCUCUACUGUAGAAAAGGGAACAGACAGUAGUUUGAAGAAAAACACUUGGACAAAUGGCAAUAUGGUUUCUUUGCUAUACAAAUACAACUAUUUUUCUACUAGAAAUAGUGUUGGUGUCUCUGCAAUGGUAGAAGGGUAGGAGAGAGGCAAGCUUUGCAGGGAGAGCUAAUUUUCUUAUUAGAACAAUUUGUAUAGGUGAAAACAAAUCAAACAAAACCAAACAGAAAUGUUUUCAGGGGGGUAGUGUAUCUGAAGCUUUUCCUUCUUUUUUCUUUUUUUUGUCUCGACUGUAUCUGCUGCUCUAAUAAAAGAUAUUGUCUCUGCCUGCAAA